UAAGCAAGAAGUGAAAUCGUACGGCUCAACCGUAUACACAUUUUUUUGAACUGGCAAAGCUAGAGUAUAUGAGAGGUCACUGGAAUUUCUAGUGUAGGAGUGAAAUCCGUAGAUAUUAGAAGGAACACCGAUGGCGUAGGCAGGUGACUGGCAUAUUACUGACGCUAAGGCACGAAAGCGUGGGGAGCGAACCGGAUUAGAUACCCGGGUAGUCCACGCCGUAAACGAUGGAUGCUA
rnacentral:rRNA from 1 species